rnacentral:rRNA from 1 species
CAUAGGUUUGGUCCCAGCCUUCCUGUUAACUCUUAAUAAACUUACACAUGCAAGCAUCUACACCCCAGUGAGAAUGCCCUCUAGGUUAUUAAAACUAAGAGGAGCUGGCAUCAAGCACACACCCUGUAGCUCACGACGCCUUGCUUAACCACACCCCCACGGGAACAGCAGUGACAAAAAUUAAGCCAUAAACGAAAGUUUGACUAAGUUAUAUUAAUUAGGGUUGGUAAAUCUCGUGCCAGCCACCGCGGUCAUACGAUUAACCCAAGCUAACAGGAGUACGGCGUAAAACGUGUUAAAGCACCAUACCAAAUAGGGUUAAAUUCUAACUAAGCUGUAAAAAGCCAUGAUUAAAAUAAAAAUAAAUGACGAAAGUGACCCUACAAUAGCCGACGCACUAUAGCUAAGACCCAAACUGGGAUUAGAUACCCCACUAUGCUUAGCCCUAAACACAGAUAAUUACAUAAACAAAAUUAUUCGCCAGAGUACUACUAGCAACAGCUUAAAACUCAAAGGACUUGGCGGUGCUUUAUAUCCUUCUAGAGGAGCCUGUUCUAUAAUCACUAGU